rnacentral:rRNA from 1 species
AUACGUAGGGGGCGAGCGUUGUCCGGAAUGAUUGGGCGUAAAGGGCGCGUAGGCGGCCCGGUAAGUCUGGAGUGAAAGUCCUGUUUUUAAGAUGGGAAUUGCUUUGGAUACUGUCGGGCUUGAGUGCAGGAGAGGUAAGUGGAAUUCCCAGUGUAGCGGUGAAAUGCGUAGAGAUUGGGAGGAACACCAGUGGCGAAGGCGACUUACUGGACUGUAACUGACGCUGAGGCGCGAAGGUGUGGGGAGCAAACAGGAUUAGAUACCCUGGUAGUCCACACUGUAAACGAUGAAUGCUAGGUGUAGGGGGUAUCGACCCCUUCUGUGCCGCAGUCAACACAAUAAGCAUUCCGCCUGGGGAGUACGGCCGCAAGGUUGAAACUCAAAGGAAUUGACGGGG